AACAUAACCUGGCAGUGGAGAUACCAUGAUCACAAAGGUGGUGUUUCCAAGGCAAGACUUACCAACUGCACUCCGGAUAUGCUAACCCCUGCAAUUUCCCCAAAUGUGGGAAACUCUACUGCGUAAUUUGUGGUAGUGGGGGACUGGGUUCAUGCUCUUCCCAU
rnacentral:snRNA from 1 species